UGGAUAUUCCGUGUAGGUUUU
rnacentral:piRNA from 1 species